rnacentral:rRNA from 1 species
UAGAGUUUGAUCCUGGCUCAGGACGAACGCUGGCGGCGUGCUUAACACAUGCAAGUCGAACGCUGAAGCUUGGUGCUUGCACUGGGUGGAUGAGUGGCGAACGGGUGAGUAAUACGUGAGUAACCUGCCCUUGACUCUGGGAUAAGCCUGGGAAACUGGGUCUAAUACUGGAUACGACAUGUCACCGCAUGGUGGUGUGUGGAAAGGGUUUUACUGGUUUUGGAUGGGCUCACGGCCUAUCAGCUUGUUGGUGGGGUAAUGGCUCACCAAGGCGACGACGGGUAGCCGGCCUGAGAGGGUGACCGGCCACACUGGGACUGAGACACGGCCCAGACUCCUACGGGAGGCAGCAGUGGGGAAUAUUGCACAAUGGGCGGAAGCCUGAUGCAGCGACGCCGCGUGAGGGAUGACGGCCUUCGGGUUGUAAACCUCUUUCAGCACGGAAGAAGCGAAAGUGACGGUACGUGCAGAAGAAGCG